rnacentral:lncRNA from 1 species
GAGAUGUCGGAACAACCAAUCAAACCUAAAUUACAACCUAUUGAUGGUCCAUAAAGCUCAAAUGACGAUAUUUUAGUGAACGAUAGCAGAGAUGACACAGAUGUGUCAAUAUAUAUAGGAAGAUGUGGUAUGAGUGCCAAUGAGACAACUCUCCAUCAACGUAAAAAUCUAUAAAAGUAAACCAUUAUAGGCCAAGGUACGGCCUUCAAUACGGAGCCUUGGCUCACACCGAACAGCACGCUAUAAAGGGCCCCAAAAAUAAUGCGGUUAAACAUGUUUGUGAGAUCUCAACCCUCCCCUAUACCUCUAGCGAAUGAAGAAAGUAAAGCAUAACAUACGCAAUAAAAUUAGUUCAAGAGAAGUCCGAGUCUGAUGUCAGAAGAUUGACUAGAGAAAUAAACAAAUGACAAUAAUACAUAAUAACCACAGAAAUAGAGUUAUCUGACAUGCAGCUCCAAGCUUCAUUAAACUGAUACUUUCACAUAAGUAGUAUCUACUUGUCAUCAAGAGAUGUCGGAACACCAUAAACCUAAUACAACCUAUUGAUGGUCCUAAAGCUCAAAUGACGAAUUUUAGCUGAAGAUAGAAGAUGACACAGUGUGUCAAUAUAUUGAAGAUGUGGUAUGAGUGCCAUGAGACAACUCUCCAUCAACGUAAAAUCUAUAAAGUAAACCUUAUAGCAAGGUCGGCCUUAAUACGGAGCCUUGGCUCACACGAACAGCAUGUAUAAAGGGCCCAACAAAUGCGGUUAACAUGUUUUGAGAUCUCAACCCUCCCCCUAUACCUCUAGCCAAUGAAGAAAAGUAAACGCAUAACAAUACGCACAUUAAAAUUCAGUUCAAGAAAAGUCCGAGUCUGAUGUCAGAAGAUGUGACUAAAGAAAAUAAACAAAACGACAAUAAUACAUAAAUAACAACAGACUACUAGCAGUUAACUGUCAUGCCAGCUCCAGACUUCAAUUAAACGGAUACUAUACACAUAGGUAGUAUAAUACUUGUCAUCAAGAGAUGGCGGAACGACCAAUCAAACCUAGAUUACAACCUAUUGCUGGUCCAUAAAGCUCAAGUGACGAUAUUUUAGUGAACGAUAGCAGAGAUGACACAGAUAUGUCAAUAUAUAUAGGAAGAUGUGGUAUGAGUGCCAAUGAGACAACUCUCCAUCAACGUAAAAAUCUAUAAAAGUAAACCAUUAUAGGCGAAGGUACGGCCUUCAAUACGGAGCCUUUGGCUCACAACGAACAGCAUGCUAUAAAGGGCCCCCAAAAAUAAUGGGUUAAACAUGUUUGUGAGAUCUGCAACCCUCCCUAUACCUCUAGCGAAGAAGAAAGUAAAGCAUAACAAUCGCACAUUGAAAAUUCAGUUCAAGAGAAGUCCGGUCUGAUGUCAGACCGAUGUGACUAACGAAAAUAACAAUGACAUAAUACAUAAAUAAAACAGACUACUAGCAGUUAUCUGACAUGCAGCUCCGAUUCAAUAACUGAUACUAUUACUAAGAAGUAUACUCUUGUCAUCAAGAGAUGUUCGGAACACAUCAAACUAAAUUACAACUAUUGCUGGUCAUAAAGCUCAAUGACGAUAUUUUUAGUGAACGAUAGCAGAGAUACACAGAUGGUCAAUAUAUAUAUAGGAAGAUGUGGUAUGAGUGCAAUGAGACAAUCUCAUCAACGUAAAAUUUAUAAAAGUAACCAUUAUAGCAGUAGGCCUUCAAUCGGAGCUUGCUCACGCGACGCACGCUAUAAAGGGCCCCCAAUAAUGCGGUUAACAUGUUUGUGAGAUCUCAACCCCCCUAUCCUCUAGCAAAUGAAGAAAGUAAACGCAUACAAUACAACAUUAAAAUCAGUUCAAGAAAUCAGUCUGAUGUCGAAGAUGUGACUAAGAAAAUAAACAAAAUGACAAAAACAAAAUAACAACAGACUACUAGCAGUUAUCUGACAUGCCAGCUCCAGACUUCAAUAAACUGAUACUAUUCACUAAGUAGUUACUACUGUCAUCAAGAGAUGUCGGAACACAAUCAAACUAAAUACACUAUUGAUGUCCAUAAAGCUCAAAGACGCUAUUUUAGUGAACGAUAGCGAGAUGACAGAGAUGUGUCAAUAUAUAUAGGAAGUGUGGUAUGAGUGCCAAUGAGACUCUCCAUCAACGUAAAAAUCUAUAAAAGUAACCAUAUAGCCAAGGUACGGCCUCAAUCGAGCCUGGCUCACACGAACAGCAUGCUAUAAGGGCCCCAAAAUAAGCGUUAACAUGUUUGUGAGAUCUCAACCCUCCCCCUAUACCUCUAGCCAAUGAAGAAAAGUAAACGCAUAACAAUACGCACAUUAAAAUUCAGUUCAAGAGAAGUCCGAGUCUGAUGUCAGAAGAUGUGACUAAAGAAAAUAAACAAAAUGACAAUAAUACAUAAAUAACAACAGACUACUAGCAGUUAACUGACAUGCCAGCUCCAGACUUCAAUUAAACUGAUACUAUACACAUAAGUAGUAUAAUACUUGUCAUCAAGAGAUGUCGGAACGACCAAUCAAACCUAAAUUACAACCUAUUGCUGGUCCAUAAAGCUCAAAUGACGAUAUUUUAGUGAACGAUAGCAGAGAUGACACAGAUGUGUCAAUAUAUAUAGGAAGAUGUGGUAUGAGUGCCAAUGAGACAACUCUCCAUCAACGUAAAAAUCUAUAAAAGUAAACCAUUAUAGGCCAAGGUACGGCCUUCAAUACGGAGCCUUGGCUCACACCGAACAGCACGCUAUAAAGGGCCCAAAAAAAUACUAAUGUUAAACCAUUUUAA